CAUGCAGUCGAACGGCAGCACGGAGCUUGCUCUGGUGGCGAGUGGCGAACGGGUGAGUAAUAUAUCGGAACGUACCCUGGAGUGGGGGAUAACGUAGCGAAAGUUACGCUAAUACCGCAUACGAUCUACGGAUGAAAGUGGGGGAUCGCAAGACCUCAUGCUCGUGGAGCGGCCGAUAUCUGAUUAGCUAGUUGGCGGGGUAAGAGCCCACCAAGGCAUCGAUCAGUAGCUGGUCUGAGAGGACGACCAGCCACACUGGAACUGAGACACGGUCCAGACUCCUACGGGAGGCAGCAGUGGGGAAUUUUGGACAAUGGGCGCAAGCCUGAUCCAGCAAUGCCGCGUGAGUGAAGAAGGCCUUCGGGUUGUAAAGCUCUUUUGUCAGGGAAGAAACGGCGUUUUCUAAUACAGAAUGCUAAUGACGGUACCUGAAGAAUAAGCACCGGCUAACUACGUGCCAGCAGCCGCGGUAAUACGUAGGGUGCAAGCGUUAAUCGGAAUUACUGGGCGUAAAGCGUGCGCAGGCGGUUUUGUAAGUCUGUCGUGAAAUCCCCGGGCUCAACCUGGGAAUGGCGAUGGAGACUGCAAGGCUAGAGUUUGGCAGAGGGGGGUAGAAUUCCACGUGUAGCAGUGAAAUGCGUAGAUAUGUGGAGGAACACCGAUGGCGAAGGCAGCCCCCUGGGUCAAAACUGACGCUCAUGCACGAAAGCGUGGGGAGCAAACAGGAUUAGAUACCCUGGUAGUCCACGCCCUAAACGAUGUCUACUAGUUGUCGGGUCUUAAUUGACUUGGUAACGCAGCUAACGCGUGAAGUAGACCGCCUGGGGAGUACGGUCGCAAGAUUAAAACUCAAAGGAAUUGACGGGGACCCGCACAAGCGGUGGAUGAUGUGGAUUAAUUCGAUGCAACGCGAAAAACCUUACCUACCCUUGACAUGGACGGAAUCCUUUGAGAGAUCGAGGAGUGCUCGAAAGAGAGCCGUCACACAGGUGCUGCAUGGCUGUCGUCAGCUCGU
rnacentral:rRNA from 1 species